GGACGAGCCUCUGGAGAGACUCUUUAGAGCACCGAAGGAGAAAGCUGUUUGAAAUAUCUUAAUUCAACAGUGAAACUUUCAGGUAAAAGGACAGGGGAAUGUUU
rnacentral:ncRNA from 2 species